GAUGAACGCUGGCGGCGUGCUUAACACAUGCAAGUCGAACGGAAAGGCUCCUGCUUGCCGGGGUACUCGAGUGGCGAACGGGUGAGUAACACGUGGGUGAUCUGCCCUGCACUUCGGGAUAAGCCUGGGAAACUGGGUCUAAUACCGGAUAGGACCACAUUUUGGAUGGUGUGGUGGAAAGUUUUUCGGUGUGGGAUGAGCUCGCGGCCUAUCAGCUUGUUGGUGGGGUAAUGGCCUACCAAGGCGUCGACGGGUAGCCGGCCUGAGAGGGUGUACGGCCACAUUGGGACUGAGAUACGGCCCAGACUCCGACGGGAGGCAGCAGGGGGGAAUAUUGCACAAUGGGCGCAAGCCUGAUGCAGCGACGCCGCGUGGGGGAUGACGGCCUUCGGGUUGUAAACUCCUUUCGCUAGGGACGAAGCGUUUUUGUGACGGUACCUGGAGAAGAAGCACCGGCUAACUACGUG
rnacentral:rRNA from 1 species